UACGUAGGCAGCGAGCGUUGUUCGGAAUUACUGGGCGUAAAGAGUGUGUAGGCGGUGUUCCCAGUCUGUUGUGAAAUCUCCCGGCUUAACUGGGAGGGUGCAGCGGAAACUAGAAUGGCUAGAGGGUGGGAGAGGUAAGCGGAAUUCCUGGUGUAGCGGGUGAAAUGCGUAGAUAUCAGGAGGAACACCUGUGGUGUAGACAGCUUACUGGACCACUUCUGACGCUGAGACACGAAAGCGUGGGUAGCAAACAGG
rnacentral:rRNA from 1 species